rnacentral:rRNA from 1 species
UACGAAGGGGGCUAGCGUUGUUCGGAAUUACUGGGCGUAAAGCGUGCGCAGGCGGUCCGUUAAGACAGAUGUGAAAUCCCCGGGCUUAACCUGGGAACUGCAUUUGUGACUGGCGGACUCGAAUAUGGCAGAGGGGGGUAGAAUUCCACGUGUAGCAGUGAAAUGCGUAGAGAUGUGGAGGAAUACCGAUGGCGAAGGCAGCCCCCUGGGCCAAUACUGACGCUCAUGCACGAAAGCGUGGGGAGCAAACAGG